UACGUAGGGUGCGAGCGUUAAUCGGAAUUACUGGGCGUAAAGCGUGCGCAGGCGGUUCGCUGUGUCCGAUGUGAAAGCCCCGGGCUUAACCUGGGAAUGGCAUUGGAAACUGGCGGGCUUGAGUGUGGCAGAGGGGGUGGAAUUCCGCGUGUAGCAGUGAAAUGCGUAGAGAUGCGGAGGAACACCGAUGGCGAAGGCAGCCCCCUGGGCUAACACUGACGCUCAGGCACGAAAGCGUGGGGAGCAAACAGG
rnacentral:rRNA from 1 species